rnacentral:rRNA from 1 species
GACGAACGCUGGCGGCGUGCCUAAUACAUGCAAGUAGAACGCUGAAGGAGGAGCUUGCUUCUCUGGAUGAGUUGCGAACGGGUGAGUAACGCGUAGGUAACCUGCCUGGUAGCGGGGGAUAACUAUUGGAAACGAUAGCUAAUACCGCAUAGUAGCAGUUGUUGCAUGACAACUGUUUGAAAGGUGCAAUUGCACCACUACCAGAUGGACCUGCGUUGUAUUAGCUAGUUGGUGGGGUAACGGCUCACCAAGGCGACGAUACAUAGCCGACCUGAGAGGGUGAUCGGCCACACUGGGACUGAGACACGGCCCAGACUCCUACGGGAGGCAGCAGUAGGGAAUCUUCGGCAAUGGACGGAAGUCUGACCGAGCAACGCCGCGUGAGUGAAGAAGGUUUUCGGAUCGUAAAGCUCUGUUGUAAGAGAAGAACGAGUGUGAGAGUGGAAAGUUCACACUGUGACGGUAUCUUACCAGAAAGGGACGGCUAACUACGUG